UACGGAGGGUGCAAGCGUUAUCCGGAUUCACUGGGGUUAAAGGGUGCGUAGGUGGGUCUGUAAGUCAGUGGUGAAAUCUCCGGGCUUAACCCGGAAACUGCCAUUGAUACUAUAGGUCUUGAAUUUUCUGGAGGUGAGCGGAAUAUGUCAUGUAGCGGUGAAAUGCUUAGAUAUGACAUAGAACACCAAUUGCGAAGGCAGCUCGCUACAGGAAUAUUGACACUGAGGCACGAAAGCGUGGGGAUCAAACAGG
rnacentral:rRNA from 1 species